CUCAUUCUCUAUCCCUCUUCCAUAUUCUUCUUUCCCUUUCUUUUUGAUCCCACCUCCAUCGCCCCCCUCUCCUCGUGCCACCAUCCUCUCGCCACCUCCCUUUGCCCUCAUUGAUGCCUACUGUAACAACCUUUCUCCGAUUCCCUCAUCGUCUCCACGAACCCUUUUGACAAUCACUCUUCUUUGAACUUAAAGAUUAUGUCAUACCCAAUCGACUCCCUCACAACCCAAAUGGAACACUUCUCGCAUUGCUCCAACGUCUUCCCUAAUUCCAUCAUCUGCGAAGUGAAGAUCCUGUUCAUCAAUCUCAAGCACAUGAACAACACCAAUUUGAGGUUUUGCAUUGAACCAUUAUGUACAAAGCCUCGGGUUGAUCCCGUCACCUCUUUCGCCUCCCAUCCGCAACGCUAUUGCACCGAGAUCUAGUGCGCACUCUCCCUUCCUGUUUUGUGAUUAAACUCCUCCUAGAUUCACUUCAACAAGAAUGCACCUGUGCAUGAUGCUUUGUAAGAUCUGCGAGCAAAGUUGACAACACUGCCCAUAUCACCAACAAGAAGAGAUUUGGUGAAAAAAAGAGAAGGAAUGGAGGAGGUUUGGUGGGUGACGAUGGUGCUAGUGACGACAGUGGGUGGUGAUUCAAGGGUAAUGACAAUGAUGGUUGGUUAUUGGCUGACAAUAACAAUGGAGAAGUCGUUGGAAAUCGCCUCUGACGACAACGUGCAAGAUAAUGCUGAGGUUCACAUGAAAGAAAGCUGGAGGAGGAAUGAUAGUGUAGAAAAUCCAAUGUACCAUUAUGGAUUAAGGAUUAAUCCAAUAAUUAAAAAAAAUUAUGCACCAUAUACAAAUUUUUUGUA